rnacentral:lncRNA from 1 species
CUUUGUGUUUUUCUUUUUCUUUAAGAACCAUGCUAGUAUGAGAUGUCCGUUCAUUAAUUUAUAGAAUUAUUCAUGUGCUUCACUUAUAUCUUUUGAGUAUGACCUUGUAGAAUGCUCUUUGUGCUUCACUUAAAUCAUUUGAGUAUGGUUUUAUAGAAUGAUUUGAAUGCUUCACUUAUAUAUUUUGAGCUUGGAUAUUGGUUAGACUAUAUUAAUUGUAGAAUGCUCCAUGAACUUCACUUAUAUAUUUUGAAGUAUGAAUAAUACUAUCAUCUAAAGCGGGUUUGGAAGAGUGUCAACUUUAGGAAUUAGUGACCCCACUAUUCCGAAUGAGAAGAAUUUUGCAUAUGUGGAGAGUAGAAAAUUAUCUAUGCUUGUAGAUCAUGAAAAGAAUGCUUUAUGUGAUGGUUAUAUUGAUGAAUUCAUUCAUGAUUCUACUAAAAAAUAUUAUGAGGGAGGAAUAUAUGCUUGUUGGAGUUGCAAUAAUAUCAAGUUUCCUCUCUAUGUGCUUAAAGUUUUGAAGUUAUACCUGUUUUGCCUUCCUAUGCUAGUUGAUUCUUGUUCCUAUAAAUUAUGUGCUCACAAAAUCCUAGGCAUAGGAAGUGGGUUAGAUUUAAAUGUGCUAGUCAUAUUCUUCAUGAUGCUCUCUUUAUGUUUCAAUUCUUAUCUUUUAUGUGAGCACCAUUGAAGUCAUCAUGCCUAGCUAAAAGGCAUUAAAGAAAAGCGCUUGUUGGGAGACAACCCAAUAUUUACCCUUACUAUUUUUGUGUUUAUAUUAUUAAGAUACUGUAGUAAUCAUGUUUUAUAGCUUUUUGUUUCAAUAAAGUGUCAAGUAAGACCUUUGGCAAGACUUGGGUGAGAGUUAAUGUGAUCUUGCUGUAAAAAACAGAAACUUUGCGCUCACGAGAUUAGCUGCCAUUUUUUACAUAAGAGUGUUUUUGAGUUGAUACUUUUUGCAGAAGAUUAAUAGACAAAUUCCUCACGUUCACAAAUUUAUUUCCUAAUUUUUGGAGUAGCAGAAGUAUGGUUUCUGUUCAUAUCAUUACAGACUGUUCUGUUUCUGACAGAUUCUAUUUUCAUUGCAUAGUUUGCUUGUUUUCUAGUUUCUAUGGAUUAUAUUUCUAUAUAUAAAUUAUAGAAAUGAUAUAAUACACUAGACAUUGUGUGGGAACAAUUAUGAACCUUGUCUUUGACACUACCAAAGUGAAUGGUUUACUCUUUACCAUACUAACCUAUCUCACGGAGUUUCGUUAAGUUUUGUGUGAUUGAAGUUUUCAAGCUUUGGGUGAGAUAUCGAUAUGAGGAGAAUAAGGAGUGGAAAGACCCUAAGCGAUGGGAUGCCCAAGGCACCCCAAGGUAAUAUUCAAGUAAGAUUCAAGCGCCUAAGCGUGGGGAUGCCCCGGAAGGUAUCCCCUUUUUCGUCUUCAAAACUAUCGGUAUACCUUACUCGGAGCUAUAUUUUUAUUCAUCACAUGAUAUGUGUUUUGCUUGGAGCGUAUUUUCAAUUUUACUUGCUGUUUGAAUAAAAUCAUUGGAUCUGAAUUAUUGAAUGAAAAAGAAUCCUCCCAAGGCUAGUUAAUUAUUUGAGUACUCAGUGUUCUUCACCUAUAUCUUUUGGAGUAGUUUGUCAUUUACUCAUAUGCUUCAUGUAUAUCCUAUGAGUAAAUGGUUGAAUGAAUUGAAUGUCAUAAAUCUGAAUUUAUAUAUGUUUCAUAUGCUUAUAACAUGGGGAGUAAUGACUUCACACAUAAUAAGUAUAGGUAGUAAACUCAUUGAAAGUUAGCAAACGUAGAAUUGGUCACUUGAACAAUUCAUGAAAGAAUAUUGAAGGAAGAGAGAUUUCACAAAUAAAUAUACUAUCUUGGACAUCUUUUGUAAUUAUGAGCACUCAUUAAAAUAUGACAUGCUAAAAGGUUGAUGUCGGACAAGGAAGACAAUGUAAUGGGCUAUGUUUUCUUAUAUCCGAAAUAAAGUAUAUUGUCUUGGAUCAUCCAACAUGUUGAGCUUGCCUUUCCCUCUCAUGCUAGCCAAAUUCUUUGCACCAAGUAGAAAUACUACUUGUGCUCCCAAACAUCCCUUGUACCAGUCUUGCCAUGAGAGUCCACCAUACCUACCUAUGGAUUGAGUAAGAUCCUUCAAGUAAGUUGUCAUCGGUGCAUGCAAUAAAAAUUGCUCUUUAAAUAUGUAUGAUCUAUUAGUGCGAAGAAAAUAAGCUUUGUACGAACUUGUGAUAGGGAAGAAAUAAAAGCGACGGACUGCAUAAUAAAGGUAUUUAUCACAAGAGGCAAUAUAAAGUGACGUUCCUUUGCAUUAAGAUUUUGUGCAUCCAACCAUAAAAGUGCAUGACAACCUCUGCUUCCCUCUGCGAAGGGCCUAUCUUUUACUUCUAUCUUCUACCCUUAUACAAGAGUCAUGGUGAUCAUCACCUUUCCUUUUUACACUUUUUCCUUUGGCAAGCACUUUAUGUUGGAGCGAUCCGCAUAUAUAUAUAUAUAUAUAUAUAUAUAUAUCCAAUUGGAUGUAAGUUAUCAUGAACUAUUAUUGUUGACAUUACCCUUGAGGUGAAAGGUUGGGAGGCAAAUCUAUAAGCCCCUAUCUUUCUCUGUGUCCGAUUAAAACUUUCAACCCAUAAAUAUCAAGUGAGUGUUAGAAUUUGCGAAAGAUUAAAUGAUAGUUGAGUACGUGGAGUUUGCUAAAUCAAAGCUCUGACAUAGACCCUUCCUGAAAAUAAGAUGAAUUGCAAUUGUUUGAUGACUAAGAGCACUGUUUGUUAGUUUUCAAGAAAGUUUAUGAUCUAUACUUUAACAUGUGAAUAGCUUGUUACUUGAUCAUGAAAUUUUUUAUGAGAUGAGCUAUUGUUAUGACAUAUAAUGAUGCUAGAAAAGGUGAUUGAAAUUAUCAUUGAUCAAACUUGUGCACCUGCUAGCAUUCACACUUCAUAAAUUAUUUCUUUUAUCAUUUACCUACUCGAGGACGAGCAGGAAUUAAGCUUGGGGAUGCUGAUACAUCUCCAACGUAUCUAUAAUUUAUGAUGUAUUCAUGCUAUUAUAUUAUCCAGCUUAGAUGUUUUAUAUGCAUUUAUAUGCUAUUUUAUAUGAUUUUUGGGACUAACCUAUUAACCUAGAGCCCAGUGCCAGCUUCUGUUUUUUCCUUGUUUUUGAGUUUUACAGAAAAGGAAUACCAAACGGAGUCCAAUUGACGUGCCAAUUUUUGUUCAUUUUUUAUGGACCAAAAGAAGCCCCUGGAGGAAAAGAGUUGGGCCAGAAGAGUCCCGGGCAGUCCACGAGGGUGGGGGUCGCGCCCACCCCCCUGGGCGUGGGCCCCUGCCUCGUGGACGACUCGGGGACCCCCCUGACGUGAAACCAACGCCAAAAAUUCCUAUAAAUACAGGAACCCCCAGAAAAUAACCUAGAUCCGAAGUUCCACCGCCGCAAGCCUCUGUAGGCACGAGAAAUCAAUCUAUGCCCUCUCUGGCACCCUGCUGGAGGGGGCCAUCAUCACCGGAGGCCAUGGAGGAGGAUAAGGGUCCAUCAUCACCAUGAAGGCCAAGGACCAGAGGGAGAACCUCUCCACAUCUAGGGGUGAGGCCAUGGAGGGGGAAGCACAAGGGGGAGAACCUCUCCUCCUCUCUCUCGGUGGCGCCGGAGUGCCAUCGGGAGGGGAAUCAUCGCCGCGGAGAUCAUGUUCAUCAACAUCACCAUCAUCAUCACCAUCCUCAUCUCUUUUACGUGGUCCACUCUCCCGCACUCCACUGCAAUACCUACUUGAACAUGGUGCUUUAUGCCACAUAUUAUGAUCCAAUGAUGUGUUGCCAUCUGAUGAUGUUUUGAGUAGAUAUCUUUUGUCCUUGGGUUGAUUGAUGAUCUAGAUUGGUACGAGUUGUAUGUUUUAUUUUGGUGUUGUCCUAUUGUGCCCUUCGUGUCACGCAAGCGUCAGGGACUCCCGCUGUAGGGUGUUGCAAUAGGUUCAUGAUUCGCUUAUAGUGGGUUGCUUCAGUGACAGAAGCAUAAACCCGAGUUAAUGCUAUGGUUGGGUUUUACCUUAGUGAUCUUUAGCAGUUGCGGAUGCUUGCUAGAGUUCCAAUCAUAAGUGCAUAUGAUCCAAGAAGAGAAAGUAUGUUAGCUUAUGCCUCUCCCUCAUAUGAAAUUGCAAUGACGGCUACCAGUCUUGUUAACAAUUGCCAAAGAUAAUUCCGCGCACCGACCCAUCAUUAUUCCACACUCGCUAUUUAUAAUAUUUAGUAAUAUAUUCUAACUUUGUGAUAACAGCACCUACUUUUAUGUUUUAGCUCUUCGAUAUCAUGCAAAGUUAUCCUCUUCAUACCCACAACGUAGUUUUAUUUCUCGUUUCUAGUUGGAAGCAACCGUUCUGUGUACGUAGAGUCGUAUCAGUGGCAGAUAGGACUUGAGAGAAUAUUGAUCUUACCUUUAGAUCCUUGUGGGUUCGACACUCCAUACUUAUCACUUCCACUAUUGGGAAUUGCUACGAUGAUUCCCUGCACUUGGGGAUUAUCAAGCUCUUUUUUGGCGCCGUUCCCGGGGAGCAAUAGCGUGGGGUUGAUAUUCUCGUCUAUGAAUGUUUGCUUUCUUCACUAAGUAGAUUUUGUUUUUCCUUUUUGUUUCUGUUUAGUUGUGGGUGAAACAUACAAAAAAAUUUAAGAAUGAAAAUACAAAACAAUUUACUUGCCUCUCAUGCCUAAAAAGUUUUUCAAUAAGAGAAGUGAUUGGAAGGUUAUGCAUUGGAGAAGUGAGGGCGACCUUGAACACUUGUGUUCAUGCUCAUGGAAACAAUGUAAAAAAAUUCAUGGAAGAUUCUCUGGAAAUAAUUAUCCCCUUGUAUAUAUCCAUUUUAUUAUAAAAAUAAUGUGCCAAGCUUUGGUUUUAGGAAGAUUAGAUUGCUUGUUUACUAUGUGCAAUACAAAAACAGAAACUUUGGCUGUAGUGCGUGAAUUUACAUUUUUUACUGGAAAGUCAAAUGGGUCUGAAACAUUUGGCACAUUACUUACGUGCAAAAAUUUUAAAUUUUCAUAUUUGUUUAGAAUUUUUUGGAGUUACAUAAGUUUACUAAACUUCCAGAUUACUACAGACUGUCCUGUUUUUGACAGAUUCUGUUUUCUAUGUGUUGAUCACUUAUUUUGAUGAAUCUAUGGAUAGUAUCGGGGGGUAUGAACCAUGGUGAAGUUAUAAUACAUUAGAUAAAGUGCUAAUACAAAGUUGGAAUGACUUUGUAACAGUACCUAAAGGUAGUGAUUUGCUUUAGUAUACUAACGGAUCUCACAAAGUUUUUGUUAAGUUUUUGUGGAUGAAGUUUUCGAAGAACGAGGCGUUACCGAUGUGAGAAAAAUAAAGAGAGGCAAGAGUUCAAGCUUGGGGAUGACCAAGGCACCCCAAGUAAAUAUUCCCAGGAUACUCAAGCAUCUAAGCUUGGGGAUGCCCCGGUUGGCAUCCCAUCUUUCUUCUUCAACAAUUAUUCGUAUACCUCGGUUUUGUUUUGUUCACAUGAUUUGUGUCCUUUGUGUUUUUCUUUUUCUUUAAGAAUGCUAGUAUGAGAUUUCCCUUCAUCAAUUUAUAGAAUUAUUCAUGUGCUUCACUUAAAUCUUUUGAGUAUGGUUUUAUAGAAUGCUUUGUGUGCUUCACUUAUAUAUUUUGAGCUUGGAUAUUGGUUAGACUAUAUUAAUUGUAGAAUGCUCCAUGAAAUUCACUUAUAUCUUUUGAAGUAUGAAUAAUACUAUCAUCUAAAGCGGGUUUGGAAGAGUGUCAACUUUAGGAAUUAGUGACCCCACUAUUCCAUAUGAGAAGAAUUUUGCAUAUGUGGAGAGUAGAAAAUUCUCUAUGAUUGUAGAUAAUGAAAAUAAUGCUUUAUGUGAUGCUUAUAUUGAUGAAUUAAUUCAUGAUUCUACUAAAAAAUAUUAUGAGGGAGGAAUAUAUGCUUGUUGGAGUUGCAAUAAUAUCAAGUUUCCUCUCUAUGUGCUUAAAGUUUUGAAGUUAUACUUGUUUUGCCUUCCUAUGCUAGUUGAUUCUUGUUCCUAUAAAUUAUGUUCUCACAAAAUCCUAGGCAUAGGAAGUGGGUUAGAUUUAAAUGUGCUUGUCAUAUUCUUCAUGACGCUCUCUUUAUGUUUCAAUUCUUAUCUUUUAUGUGAGCACCAUUGAAGUCAUCAUGCCUAGCUAAAAGGCAUUAAAGAAAAGCGCUUGUUGGGAGACAACCCAAUAUUUACCCUUACUGUUUUUGUGUUUACAUGAUUAAGCUACUGUAGUAAUCAUGUUUUAUAGCUUUUUGUUUCAAUAAAGUGCCAAGUAAGACCUUUGGGAAGACUUGGGUGAGAGUUAAUGUGAUCUUGCUGUAAAAAACAAAAACUUUGCGCUCACGAGAUUAGCUGCCAUUUUUUACAUAAGAGUGCUUUUGAGUUGAUACUUUUUGCAGAAGAUUAAUAGAAAAUUCCUCACGUUCACCAAUUUAUUUCAUAAUUUUUGGAGUAGCAGAAGUA